UACGAAGGGGGCUAGCGUUGCUCGGAAUCACUGGGCGUAAAGGGUGCGUAGGCGGGUCUUUAAGUCAGAGGUGAAAUCCUGGAGCUCAACUCCAGAACUGCCUUUGAUACUGAAGAUCUUGAGUUCGGGAGAGGUGAGUGGAACUGCGAGUGUAGAGGUGAAAUUCGUAGAUAUUCGCAAGAACACCGAUGGCGAAGGCGGCGUUCUGGACUGCAACUGACACUGAGGAACGAAAGCCAGGGGAGCAAACGGG
rnacentral:rRNA from 1 species